rnacentral:rRNA from 1 species
AUGUCUACGGACCAAAGUGUGGGACCUUCGGGCCACAUGCUAUCGGAUGCGCCUACGUGGGAUUAGCUAGUUGGUGAGGUAAUGGCUCACCAAGGCGACGAUCCCUAGCUGGUUUGAGAGGAUGAUCAGCCACACUGGAACUGAGACACGGUCCAGACUCCUACGGGAGGCAGCAGCGGGGAAUAUUGGACAAUGGGCGCAAGCCUGAUCCAGCCAUGCCGCGUGUGUGAAGAAGGCCUUCGGGUUGUAAAGCACUUUCAGUUGGGAGGAAGCGUUGCGUGUUAAUAGUACACAGCCUUGACGUUACCAACAGAAGAAGCACCGGCUAACUCUGUGCCAGCAGCCGCGGUAAUACAGAGGGUGCAAGCGUUAAUCGGAAUUACUGGGCGUAAAGCGCACGUAGGCGGUUUUUCAAGUCAGAUGUGAAAGCCCCGGGCUCAACCUGGGAAUUGCAUUUGAAACUGGAAAACUAGAGUGUGUGAGAGGGGGGUAGAAUUCCAAGUGUAGUGGGUGAAAAUGCGUAGAGAUUUUGGAGGAAUACCAGUGAGCGAAGGCGGCCCCCUGGCACAACACUGAACGCUUCAGGUGCGAAAAGCGUGGGGGAGCAAACAGGAUUAGAUACCCUGGUAGUCCACGCCGUAAACGAUGUCUACUAGCUGUUCGUGACCUUGUGUCGUGAGUAGCGCAGCUAACGCACUAAGUAGACCGCCUGGGGAGUACGGUCGCAAGAUUAAAACUCAAAUGAAUUGACGGGGGCCCGCACAAGCGGUGGAGCAUGUGGUUUAAUUCGACGCAACGCGAAGAACCUUACCUACUCUUGACAUCUACAGAAGACUGCAGAGAUGCGGUUGUGCCUUCGGGAACUGUAAGACAGGUGCUGCAUGGCUGUCGUCAGCUCGUGUUGUGAAAUGUUGGGUUAAGUCCCGCAACGAGCGCAACCCUUAUCCUUAGUUGCCAGCACGUAAUGGUGGGAACUCUAGGGAGACUGCCGGUGAUAAACCGGAGGAAGGUGGGGACGACGUCAAGUCAUCAUGGCCCUUACGAGUAGGGCUACACACGUGCUACAAUGGUAUGUACAGAGGGAGGCAAGCUGGCGACAGUGAGCGGAUCUCUUAAAGCAUAUCGUAGUCCGGAUCGCAGUCUGCAACUCGACUGCGUGAAGUCGGAAUCGCUAGUAAUCGCAAAUCAGAAUGUUGCGGUGAAUACGUUCCCGGGCCUUGUACACACCGCC